rnacentral:tRNA from 1 species
UAGCUUUUGGCCUAGUGGUAAGCACUCGAUCCUAACAAAUGGUAUCGAGCCAAGGUCACGAGUUCGAUUCUCGUUGAGCAAUAGUUAA